GACCCGCCACGCCGGGCUAUAA
rnacentral:snRNA from 1 species